rnacentral:rRNA from 1 species
CAGUCGCGCGGUAAUACGUAGGUGGCAAGCGUUGUCCGGAAUUAUUGGGCGUAAAGGGCUCGCAGGCGGUUUCUUAAGUCUGAUGUGAAAGCCCCCGGCUCAACCGGGGAGGGUCAUUGGAAACUGGGAAACUUGAUUGCAGAAGAGGAGAGUGGAAUUCCACGUGUAGCGGUGAAAUGCGUAGAGAUGUGGAGGAACACCAGUGGCGAAGGCGACUCUCUGGUCUGUAACUGACGCUGAGGAGCGAAAGCGUGGGGAGCGAACAGGAUUAGAUACCCCAGUAGUCCCUGUCUCUUAUACA